UCUCAGUUGUUUUUCAUGAACCUUUUUUCAGCCAGAGAGCUCAGCAGACCACAGGCUGCAAACCACUGAUCAACAAGGCUGGGUGUGAUAACUUGACAUGUCUGCAAAUUGUUUCCUUUGGAAACAAACCCCAUUGUGCUUUAUAACACCAAACUGAUCUCUUUUCCAGGAGAGCCGCCAGCAGAUCCUUGAAGUUGGCUUGAAAUUCUUCUGUUGCACUGCCCAUCAAGCCAGAGAAGCAGCAGCUGAUCAAGAAGAUGUACAGCAACAGCAUUUUUGCUCCCAGGACAACCAGGUUUGAUUUAUGCCUUUCUAAUGCCACACGCUGCCUAUAUAUAUACCCAUGCACACCUUGAAUAUUAAAUCGAAGGGAAAGUUUUCUCAUCUGGGAGAAGGCACAAGAACAUGGUGUGAAUUCUUAAAGGCACUGUGGGAUGCCUCAGUGGGGACAGGUUGGGGGUUUCCUUCCCUCUGACAUCAAAUAAGGGGAAAAUACCUUGUAGAUAAGAGAUGUCACAUUCUUACACGAUACCAAAAUCUCAUCACAGGAAAUAGGAGUAUCCUUGUAUAACACAUGUCUUUGUGGUUCUAGUCUUACUUUUGCAGCACAUAAUCAGAUCAAUGGGGAUCUGGAAACCUCAGUAGUUCUUGCGUUCCACUCAGUAAUAGGACAUUCUUUGUUCAACAGGAUUUUCUAACAGAAACUGCAGGUCUAGGUAUAGUAAAAAAUAAUAACAAAUUCUUAGACGUAGAUGGACCAAAACACCACUGAACCAGUUUUUGUUCGUUAAGUUUCCUCCUUCACUCUCGCUGUUCUGUGACGUGCAGCACAGAACACAUCCCUGGGACAAGCACGGGUUGAAUCAGCAACAGCCAAAAGUUAAAAGAUAGUAACGGUAGAAAUUGCAUCAACUGAACAACCUUCUUUGAAUUUAAAGAAGUCCUUCAACAUUAGUGGAAAAAUUCAAUGUACCGAAAGCACUGAGUGUGGGUCAAUGGCUAAAAACUACUGUCAGAUGCUUGGCAAGCGCUUGUGAGAGGGCAACAGUCACUCAUUAAAAGGUUACAAUUUUCCAGCAAAAUUUGACAAAUCACUCAACAAUGUGAGUAAAGUCAUCUGGUUUUCCAUAGCUACCUGCUGGAGAGGCACCGAGACAAAGGAGGCCUUGUUCACAUCAAGUCAUUAGUUUCUUGAUAUGUAAUUUCAUGAACGGAUGUGAGUGUGAAAACACUGCUAAACUCACUUUUACUUGUAUUUUUGAGAUUAAAAUUUCUAUUCAUGUCCUAAAAUUCAGCAAGAGAAGUAUAACUAGGGGUUAAAAAUCCCCUCUUGAAAGGACUUGUUGAUCCUAACUGAAAAGCUCCCGAAAAAAAGGUUUCAACACAUAGAGCAUCUUAUUGUCAGAGCACAUCCAAAGGAACACAACAGGCACCCAGCUGAGAAUGCUUGGAUCCUGGAAGAGCAUGAGGGGAAUAACACAACAUAUACUCACAUUCCUUUGUAGAAAUCAGCAUUUGACAGCUCUUACCCACAGGACACUGAGCAAGAUGGACUUUUGUCUGACCUGGUUUGGCUGCUCUUUCGUAGAGGGAGAGGGAUAAAAGUGUCUAUGAUGAACUAGGCAGAAGAACAGCAGAUCUUGUGGAAGGAUUCCCAUUCCCACAGGGUGGAUGGAAAGCAAGCAUUUUGUUAUGUUUCACAAAUACUGGUAGUUUUAUUAAAAAUUACUAGAUGUUAGCACUAAAAAUAUGUAUGAAAAUCUAUUUUUAAAAUAGAUAUUAUCAUGUCUAUUGUAUCAUAUGCUAAUAGAGUUUAUAUUCUUAUAUAUUUAACAUAAUUAAAGGAGUAUAUGUUUAUUCUUGC